rnacentral:lncRNA from 1 species
AAUACUAAGCAGUCUUGGGAUCCGGUUGAGGUCACAAACCCAGUCCAGUUAGGUCAUUUCCUCUGGCAGCCCUCAGAACAGCUUAGGCACAGCAGGAGGAAAGGAUGCUGGUUUGGUUGAUCCAAGGAGGAGACUAGUCAAUGGGUCCAAUGACAGAUGAGUGUGCUGAGCCAUUUAUGUUAUUGUCUAUCCUAUAAAUUAACAUUGGGAGAAAAUACCUUGGAAGGAGUUGUGAAAUCUGGAGAUAAUAUAGAAGAUACUUGAACUGAGCCUCAGAAGCAAAAAUGAAGGGGAAAAAAAUGAUAACAACAGAACUUGGAAAUUAGAUGAAACAUCAGAAGGCUGAAGGGGGUUCAAGGAGAGAAGUCAAAAUAUCCAGAAGGAA